rnacentral:rRNA from 1 species
CCUUGACAUACUAAGAACUUUCCAGAGAUGGAUUGGUGCCUUCGGGAACUUAGAUACAGGUGCUGCAUGGCUGUCGUCAGCUCGUGUCGUGAGAUGUCGGGUUAAGUCCCGCAACGAGCGCAACCCUUUUCCUUAUUUGCCAGCGGGUCAUGCCGGGAACUUUAAGGAUACUGCCAGUGACAAACUGGAGGAAGGCGGGGACGACGUCAAGUCAUCAUGGCCCUUACGGCCAGGGCUACACACGUGCUACAAUGGUCGGUACAAAGGGUUGCUACCUCGCGAGAGGAUGCUAAUCUCAAAAAGCCGAUCGUAGUCCGGAUCGCAGUCUGCAACUCGACUGCGUGAAGUCGGAAUCGCUAGUAAUCGCGGAUCAGAAUGCCGCGGUGAAUACGUUCCCGGGCCUUGUACACACCGCCCGUCACACCAUGGGAGUUUGUUGCACCAGAAGUAGGUAGUCUAACCGCAAGGAGGACGCUUACCACGGUGUGGCCGAUGACUGGGGUGAAGUCGUAACAAGGUAGGCGUAGAUGA